rnacentral:lncRNA from 1 species
GUCUGAGUAUUUGAGAGGAGGCAGGAUUCCAAGCCCAGAAGCAACCCCUACCCAGCAGCUCUCAGAGCUGAUGUAGAAGGUCAAACCAAUAAGGGUGCCUAUUACCAAGGAGUCCUCUGAUGAUUACUGAGAAGCUUAACCCUUCUCUAUUACCCUAGACUCAGACCUCUCUGCCCAUCCUUCUAAGAAUGACAGUUUCUGGCUCAGUUCUGAGCAGAUGGCCUUCCUGUCAUUUCCCCCUGGCAGAAGCAUCUGCUUUAGGCCUGGUGAAAAUGGGUAAGAGUCUGGAGAAAUACAGCCUAAGGGAGCCCCUGAACACUCCACAGGUCAAUGAUGAGUCCUUCAUCCCUCCCGAGACCACCACUCACUCUUUUCAUCUGCCGAGACCAGGGUUUGGACCACAGGACACCUGCACACUUCCUGCUCAUGAAGUUUAACCAUCCAUGAACUGUUGACGAUCAUCACCAGGACAUUCCCGAACAUCAUCAGAGCCAUUUGUCGUACCUUAUUUAGCAGGACUAAAUAAAAUAUGAGCCUCAGCGUGAUGGAUUUCUGAUGUUGCAUUUUGUCCAGGAGGAAAAAGGCAGGAAGACCAGCGGAAGCCUUGAGCAGGUGUCUGGGAGAUGGAGGAUUUCCAGCUUCUGCUACUGGAUUCACCCUUUGGUCCCCUCCUGGGCUUUCUGCUUUGGCAAAACUUCCCUCCUGGCUGAGACGCUGCAGUAGUUUGGAGAUUUUUAGGUGCUUGUCCAUGCACUCUUCCUUUUUCCCAGAACAUAUUUGUGGAGUUUGAAACACUUUUCCAAAGGGAGUGAGGUGCAGAGAGGGAGGGAAGAUGGGCUCAUGAAAGAGUUAAUAUUCUAAAGUGAGAAGAGCAGAGCCAGAGACAUCUUUGAAGUUAGCCCAACAAUGCACGUGGAUUUUCCUGACAUAACAAAGCUUUCACAUCAAAUAAGACUUUGAAGAUAUUUAGUUUUGAAGUUAGGGUGUUCCACACCCGCAUAUUUAUUGAACAUUUCAGAGUCCAUUGUUGAGCUAAUAUUCUUCUUGUUUCCCUUUCUGGAAAUUCCACGUUGACUCCUAGAUCUGUUCUAGGAUUUGGUCCACCUUAAACUCAUUUCCUCUAUAAGUACUUGCUCCUGGGGAGAAGGGCAAAAAAAAAUCCUCUUCUCUUCAGAUAACAUGCCCUAAGGGGCGUGUGUAGAAAAGGUAAAAUUUUCAUAAAAUUUAUUCUUUAAAAGCCCUUUAAACACAAAUACUCUUUAGCUCUUUGUGAUAGUAAGGUCCCUAAUUAGUGUCAAAUUUUUAGGCAAAACCAGGUGAAGAUUGGCUUGCUGACUAAGGCCUCACAUAAAUUAAGCCACUUCUUUAAGAAAGCAAGCUGGGGGUAGUAAGAAAUUUGACAAUUGAUUACUUUGUUCUCAGCACAUAAGUAUAUCUAUAUAAUGCACAUUAUAAAAUGGAUUUCUCCUGGAAAUGUAUCUUGUUUGUAUAUGUGCUCCCAACCAGUUGGUUAGUUCGGUCAGGGUUUCUCGUCGUCAGCACUAUUGACAUUUGGGGUGGGGUAAUUCUUUGUCAUGGGGGGCUGUCCUGUGCAUUGCAGGAUGUUGAGCAGCAUCACCAGCCUCCUACCAACUAGAUCCCAGUAGCAACUCACACCCCCAGUCCUGACAACCAAAAAUGUCUUCAAAUACUGCCAUCUGACCCCUGGAGGGCAAUUAUAUAAUGAAAAUUAUAAGGAGAACCUCUGGGUUAGGGUUAGGUUAGAACUGAGUCAGGAUCAGAGCUUUGACAAUCCUUAUCACACUAUAUUAAAACAACCAAUUUAUUUAUCAAAUUACCCCAGGAAGCUGUAUUAUUUUCAAGAGCAAGGAUCCAAAGUUUACCACCAUAUUUUCCCAUAGAGAAGCUCAAAAGUGCUUGAUGGGUGAAUGAGUGAACAAAUAUAGAAGAAAUGAUCAAACCCACAAGUGGGGAAGAAGUAUACAGACAGCAUUCUUGAAAAUAAGUUUGGAUUCAGUCAGGGAUCUUGAGGAAAUUUUUUAAAUACUGUUACAGAGAAGAAAGAGAAAACAGAGAUAAGGGCAAAGAGAGAGGCCAUCCUUGCUGGAGACAUCAGUUACCUAGCACAGAGAAGGGCAUAGUAGAAAGAGGUGGCAUUCCGUUUGAAGAACUUGGCACCUCACUGUCACCAAGUGUUCACAAUUGCCCAUUUCUUACCCCUGCUUUGCUUUGACCAAACUCUAGUCAGGUUCCUCUCUUUCCUACAGGCCCCUAAACCUGGCUUGCCCACAACCCUGAGCAAGCACAAAAAAAUGUGGAAUGUCCGUCAUCUGUCCCCGGCCAUCAGCUGCUCCUGGGAACUGGCUGACCACAGCGGGACACUUUCCUGUCAGAUUCCACUGGUCACUUCCCCGUGCUUGUCCAGCUUCCCCUCCAAAGAUCCUGCUUAUCUCUGCCUGUUCCAUAGCAAAAUAUUACCCUAUAAAAGAAAACCCUUUUUCUGUUUGAUUUUAAGACACAUUCAAAUUUCUGCAAUCAGAGCAUUCUCCCUAUUACAAUAGCCUUUCUUCUAAAUAAACCCUCUCCCUAUGGAAGUCCAGAUUUGUUUUUAUUUGACACCAGGUUUCUGAACCUGAGUUUUAUAUUCUGCAAAGGGAAGAG